rnacentral:tRNA from 1 species
AGAGUAUAGCUCAGUGGUAGAGUGCAUGCCUAGCAUGCAUGAGGUCCUGGGUUCAAUUCCCAGUACCUCUA